CAACGUCCACCAACCCAGCCAGAGACAUGAUGCUUUGGUUGCCCUUCAUUCUUUCCUUUGCAGCUCUCUCAGGCUGCCAGGCAGAGGUUCAGCUGGUGGAGACUGGAGGGGGUGUCGUAACCCCUGGAGGCUCCCUCCGCCUCACCUGCAAGGCUUCAGGAUUCACUUUUGCGGACAGUUAUAUGGGCUGGUUCCGCCAGCCUCCCAGGAAAGGACUGGAGUGGGUGUCUAGAAUAAGUAGCUCUGCUGGAAGUGAGAAACUUUACAACCCCAAGGUACAGGGGCGAUUCACCAUCUCCAGAGACAAUUCCCAAAGCUCAGUCCAUCUGCAAAUGAGCAGCUUGAAGCCUGAAGACUCUGCCUUGUAUUACUGUGUAAGAGGCACAGUGGCAGGAAAUCUGUAUCCUCACUCUCUAAAUAUAUACACACAGGGUGGAAGCACACUCACCAGAACUGCCAAGAGCAAAAAUGAGGAAAAGCAACCAUCACACCUUUUUCUCUGGGAGCCUUUGGAUGACAAGUGA